AACACACAGACCUCCUGAGAAAAUUACGAGAAUUGACAAACACACAGGCUCUGCACCCUUCCGGACAACUAGCCAAAAGCAUUGUAGAAACCACUAAAAAGAUCAACGACAUGAAUCUAAACGAAACAGCCUACAUGCUAACUAAAUUAAAGGUGAAAACAUACGCUCAAGGCAACAGAGCUGGGAAACACUUAGCGACGAUGCUAAAGCAGAAGCAAGCCAAUUCCAAAAUCCCAUACCUGAUCUCUCAAACAGGUGACAAGAUCUACAAUCCUCAAGACAUCAACAAUGAGAUGGCCGACUAUUACCAUAAGCUUUACAAUCUAAGAUAUAACCCCGAAGUACACCAACCCACGAAACAAGAAAUCGAAGACUUCCUCCAAACUAUUACGCUACCAAAGAUAUCGGCCACCCACAAACGAACAAUACAAAAUCCCGUGAUGAUACAAGAAAUAACCGAUGCGAUCCAAGCACUCCCGCCAGGGAAAUCGCCAGGCCCUGAUGGUUUGACUAACC